CUCUUCAGGACUGGACUCUCCCCCUGGAUGCAGCUUGUGUUCCCCACCAGCAGAUGGGCGGCCGCUGUGCCACUCGAGAGCCACACUCAGCUUUGUUCUACUACAGCCUAACUGCUCAGAGUCUUGACUGUGCCUCCUUCUUAUCAAUCCACAAAACAACACAAGGUACCAGAGUGAGGUGGAAGUGAGGGCAGAGCAAAGACCACUGUGGUGAAGGAGCAGAGGAGUCAUCUUGGAGAUGGAGCAACUAAAAGCCCCCAAGCAGUGGAAACUCUCAGACUUCUGGUCUUCUGCUUGCUGUCUGUGUGACAAGAACCAGAGGAGAGGGUGAAGGGAAAGCCCUCUAACCCCUUGGUGCCAUGACUUAGAUACAUCACGCUGGACAGGCAAGUUGCAGCCAGUCCCCACAGGCAGAUGGAAGAUUUGGCCACCGGAAGCCUGCCGCUGUGCCACUUGAGAGCCACGCUCAGCUUUGGCAAUUAUCAAGGCUUGGGGGUGUUUUACUAACCUUUUGCG